UAAAAAUGCCAUUGUAACUACUGUAG
rnacentral:piRNA from 1 species